UACGUAGGGUGCAAGCGUUGUCCGGAAUUAUUGGGCGUAAAGAGCUCGUAGGCGGUUUGUCGCGUCUGCUGUGAAAACUCGGGGCUUAACUCCGGGCCUGCAGUGGGUACGGGCAGACUAGAGUGCGGUAGGGGAGACUGGAAUUCCUGGUGUAGCGGUGAAAUGCGCAGAUAUCAGGAGGAACACCGGUGGCGAAGGCGGCGACCUGGGUAGAUACUGACGCUGAGGUGCGAAAGCGUGGGGAGCAAACAGG
rnacentral:rRNA from 1 species